AUUGAACGCUGGCGGAAUGCUUUACACAUGCAAGUCGAACGGCAGCACGGACUUCGGUCUGGUGGCGAGUGGCGAACGGGUGAGUAAUAUAUCGGAACGUAUCCAAUAAUGGGGGGUAACUAAUCGAAAGGUUGGCUAAUACCGCAUACGUCCUACGGGAGAAAGCUAGGGACCUUCGGGCCUGGCGUUAAUGGAGCGGCCGAUAUCGGAUUAGCUAGUUGGUGAGGUAAAGGCUCACCAAGGCGACGAUCCGUAGCUGGUCUGAGAGGACGACCAGCCACACUGGAACUGAGACACGGUCCAGACUCCUACGGGAGGCAGCAGUGGGGAAUGUUGGACAAUGGGCGAAAGCCUGAUCCAGCCAUUCCGCGUGAGUGAAGAAGGCCUUCGGGUUGUAAAGCUCUUUCGGCGGGGACGAAACGGUUCGGGCUAACACCACGGACUAAUGACGGUACUCGCAGAAGAAGCACCGGCUAACUACGUGCCAGCCGCCGCGGUAA
rnacentral:rRNA from 1 species